UACGUAGGGUGCAAGCGUUAAUCGGAAUUACUGGGCGUAAAGCGUGCGCAGGCGGUUCGUUAAGUCAGAUGUGAAAGCCCCGGGCUCAACCUGGGAACUGCAUUUGAAACUGGCGGGCUUGAGUGUGGCAGAGGGGGGUGGAAUUCCGCGUGUAGCGGUGAAAUGCGUAGAUAUCGGGAGGAACACCUGCGGUGUAGACGGCUUACUGGACCAUAACUGACGCUGAGGCACGAAAGCGUGGGUAGCAAACAGG
rnacentral:rRNA from 1 species